rnacentral:tRNA from 1 species
AUUUAUAUAGUAUAUAAAUAGUAUAUUUGACUUCCAAUCAAUUGGUCUAAAUAAUUUAGUAUAAAUA